rnacentral:rRNA from 1 species
GAUGAACGCUGGCGGCGUGCCUAAUACAUGCAAGUCGUGCGAACGGACGAUAAGCUUGCUUCUCUGAUGUUAGCGGCGGACGUGUGAGUAACACGUGGAUAACCUACCUAUAGGACUGGGAUAACUUCGGGAAACCGGAGCUAAUACCGUAUAAUAUCUUGAACCGCAGGGUUCAAAAGUGAAAGACGGUCUUGCUGUCACUUAUGGAUGGAUCCGCGCUGCAUUGGCUGGUUGGUAAGGUAACGGCUUACCAAGGCAACGAUGCAUAGCCGACCUGAGAGGGUGUUCGGCCACACUGGAGCUGAGACACGGUCCAGACUCCUAGGGGCGGCAGCAGUAGGGAAUCUUCCGCGAUGGGCGAAAGCCUGCCGGAGCAGCGCCGCGUGGGUGAUGAAGGUCUUCGGAUCGUAUAACUCUGUUAUUAGUGAAGACCAUAUGUGUAAGUAACUGUGCACAUCUUGACGGUACCUGCACAGAAAGCCACGGCUAACUACGUG